rnacentral:rRNA from 1 species
UACAGGCUUAACACAUGCAAGUCGAGGGGCAGCAUGGUCUUAGCUUGCUAAGGCUGAUGGCGACCGGCGCACGGGUGAGUAACACGUAUCCAACCUGCCGUCUACUCUUGGCCAGCCUUCUGAAAGGAAGAUUAAUCCAGGAUGGGAUCAUGAGUUCACAUGUCCGCAUGAUUAAAGGUAUUUUCCGGUAGACGAUGGGGAUGCGUUCCAUUAGAUAGUAGGCGGGGUAACGGCCCACCUAGUCAACGAUGGAUAGGGGUUCUGAGAGGAAGGUCCCCCACAUUGGAACUGAGACACGGUCCAAACUCCUACGGGAGGCAGCAGUGAGGAAUAUUGGUCAAUGGGCGAUGGCCUGAACCAGCCAAGUAGCGUGAAGGAUGACUGCCCUAUGGGUUGUAAACUUCUUUUAUAAAGGAAUAAAGUCGGGUAUGCAUACCCGUUUGCAUGUACUUUAUGAAUAAGGAUCGGCUAACUCCGUGCCAGCAGCCGCGGUAAUACGGAGGAUCCGAGCGUUAUCCGGAUUUAUUGGGUUUAAAGGGAGCGUAGAUGGAUGUUUAAGUCAGUUGUGAAAGUUUGCGGCUCAACCGUAAAAUUGCAGUUGAUACUGGAUGUCUUGAGUGCAGUUGAGGCAGGCGGAAUUCGUGGUGUAGCGGUGAAAUGCUUAGAUAUCACGAAGAACUCCGAUUGCGAAGGCAGCCUGC